rnacentral:rRNA from 1 species
UACGUAGGGACCAAGCGUUGUUCGGAUUUACUGGGCGUAAAGGGCGCGUAGGCGGCCUAGCAAGUCACCUGUGAAAUCUCCGGGCUUAACUCGGAACUGCCAAGUGAAACUGCUGGGCUAGAGUGCAGAAGGGGCAAUCGGAAUUCUUGGUGUAGCGGUGAAAUGCGUAGAUAUCAGGAGGAACACCGGUGGCGAAGGCGGGUCUCUGGGCCGAUACUGACGCUGAGGAGGGAAAGCGUGGGGAGCGAACAGG